CGAAUUUCAAAAGGCUAAGUUAACGUCGGUGGUAGUUAGCUUAAAUGUACCAGCCACUUGGCUGACCACGCAACACCAAACUGAACAAAAACGACACGGUCUAACGUUAAUAGUCAGCGAGGAUGGGCAUUUGUGGUGUGUUAUAUGAUAUAUGUUAUGUGUUAUAUGUCAUACUUGCACAUUAGUUUCAGAAAAAUGACGACGAAAAAAUUGUAAAGUUCAAGUAGAAAGUUAAGUUGCAGUGCAGCGCUAAUAUAGCAGAUUAGCUUGUGAACUCAUGAAAAUAAUGAUAGAUGUUGCGGUUGUGUCGGAUUCGUUUAUUUUGUUUUACUUCAUCUAAUUCAUAUAUAUCAGCCAGUUAAGUCACGACACCACGUUUCUGGGACGGCCAGGUCCUGCUUUGGCUCGCGGUUCUGAGGGAAAUGUUAUUUGUAACUUAUUAGCGGUUAGCUAGCUAGCUACUAGGUGUCAAUAGACUGUUGAAGUGUUAGCGACAAGCUAACAGUAUUUGUCGAGAGCUUCAAGUAAGAUCUACAAUAUUCGGUUUGCCCUGACACCAUUCAUGUAGCAUAUAAACAACAAACGUGGAUUAGACGUAUAAAAUGUUGCGUAUAUAACCUUUAUUCACUUAAAAUAGACUAGUUCUUAGUGGCACCGCAGUCCUCAAUCUUUUUUUAUUCCCGCCUCUCAGCAAUGUAGGCUUUCAAGCUCACACAGCCGUUAGCUGUUAGCCAGAGCAGCAGAACUACAAGGCUGGUUUAAGCUGCUUUCGCACGGUGCUCAGCACUCGAUACCAUCAUGUUGAUCAAAACCAGAAUCUACAAUACACAGAAAUAUGUCAAGAUAAAAGAGCCAAGCCUUGAGGAAUUCUUAACUUCUGCUUUCUUGAAGUUCUCAGUUCCGCCAGUCAAUGAAGGUGUCAAGGUUUUUGAUGAAACAGGAACUGAGGUGGAUGCAGAGGUCUUCGCUGACAUAGCGCAGCUUCCCAACACUGGCAUACUAACCAUCACGUUUGAUGACGAUUUGAAGGAAACUUUGUCCAGCAGUUCCCAAGAUGCAAAUUCCAGUGCACUGUCUGCUAGUAAUGACACUGUCAUCCUCGAAAUCUUGUCCUGCGCCUCAGAUGACACAGUCAUACUGGAGGAGAGUGGCAGUCCAUCCAGAAAGCGACAGAGGGAAGAUGGAGAGGCCAAACGUGUGGUUGAAUUGGUGCUAACAAGGAAACCUGGGGGCGACCGUAUCAUCAAAGAGUACCACCGCACUAAAAGUCUGACCGACUCCUCACGCCGACACAUGGUCAACAUACUUGUGGCUGGUAUGACAGAAACGCAUGGGACGGCCCCGCCACGGAAUGUGAGAGAGAUGUACGCUCGAGGCAUAGUUCAGCUCUUCCCGUACUUGAUGGAUCCCUACUCUAAAAAUGGAUAUGAACAUUACUAUGAUGGUGAAAGUGGCAGUGGCUAUCUGGCAUGGCGGCUUAAAACUGUGCAGAGGAGAAGUGCUUCAUCAGAGAGCAGAGGGUCAUCACGUCAGCUGAAUGGAGGACCAGUAGCCAGAAGAGAAGCUUCCUUUAGUCCUGAGAUGACCUUAAGUGAAGAGCAAUGCCAGGAGGCCAUGGCCUUAAUGAGAUACUGUACUGACGAGGCUACUAUCAAGCAGAAGAUGAUGAUGACAUUUAAACAUCGUCGCAGUAUGGUCCUCGAUGGAGAGAAAUCCUCAGAUGUCUUGACUGAAUUUCCCCGCUUCAAAGACUUCAAAGGCCUGUUGCAGAUUGAGCAAGACUUCGUCCUGCAGUUUGGAGAAGGUGUAGCUGCAAGAUUUAUGGAAAGGUGGCCGACAACAUUCAAGAAAAAGGUCAUUCAUCAGUGUAAGGCUCUCCCUUCUACAAGUGACCUUGAAGAGCUUAUCCAUUGUGCUGAAGCUACACCGGAUGAUGAGGACAUUGAUGACACUCUUGCCCUUGGCUGGGACAGCGAUCUUGCAUCCAUUAUCCUCCUCCUCCACCUGAUACCUCCUUCAGCCCAAGGCCGGAGAAGACCAGGCAAGGUAUCCGCAGCCCAAGCUGAGAAACAGCUUGUCGUGUUCAAGAAGAGUGGAACCGGUCUUCAAGAACAUAUUGAUGCAAUCAAAUGCAUAACUCAACCGUAUCUUGUUGCUGUUGGGAUGAAGAGGAGCACCAUCCAUGAGUUCUUCAUUAUUCUGGACAAGCAGGUCAUACCGUGCAAGUCAACCAGUACCCUAGGAGCUUUUGACAAACUCUUUAAAGCACACUUUGUAUUUGGUACCAUGUACAACCAGAUGCUCCACAACAUGUACACCUUUAUUCAGACAACCAUUUACAACAUAGAUAUUGGUCAAGUCCACGAGAGCCCACGUGUUGCUGAGGUUAGGGCCAGGCUACUGCACUAGUUGUUAAAUAAUUCAGGGUGGGCAACAUAUUUGUCACUUUUCACUAAAAGCUCUUGUAUUUUGUAUUGUAUUGUAUUUUGAGUUAUUUUCCCAUCUCACUCAGUCUUAAUUGAUAUCAUGGGCCUGAUUUGUUUUGUUUGCCACUCUCGUUUUGUGGGAACCAAUGAUCUUUUGAGGCAUCUACGGUUGAUUCAUGGUUUCUAUCCAGGUAAAUCACUUUGCCUAAAAUGUGCACAGAGAGGAUGCUGUCAUGUUCUGAGUACCUUUUCAGGUUUCAGGAAACACUUAAACUCUAAACAUGCUGAAAACAUUGAGAGUGAAUCUGAAACUGAUAACAUAAUAGACAAUUAUGAUGCUGCAGAUGAUACUCAGUCACAACAUUUUCAAGGAGCGGCCAGUAGCUCUAAUGUCCUGCCAGCACCCAAUGUCGUAGAUUAAUCGAGAUUUAAAGCACUUAGACUAAUUUAAGAGAGAGAGUAAAAGAAAUCGAGGGGUCCGGAGCAAGAAUUGAAAAAGACUUUAUCGUGAAGAAAAACAACAACGACAACAGCCUGAGUGGGUUUGCAGAGUCACUGGCGAACAUAGACUCCAGCUCCUCUUUAUGCACAUACACACAUACACAUUGUUCCAAUGGGGUUUCCGCCCAGUCAAUCUUCGUCUCAGCAUGUUAUCAACCGCGCCCUGGUCUGAGGUCAGCAUGGAUUGACCUCGUUAGCCAAAAUGACCCAGGGCUGACAGGCUGAGG
ensembl:lncRNA